UACAGAGACCCCAAGCGUUAUCCGGAAUUACUGGGCGUAAAGCGCAAGCAGCCAGUUGCAUUAGUCUGAUGUUAAAUCUCAUUGCUUAACGAUGAGACCGCGUCGGAAACGGUGCGACUAGAACAGGUGAGAGGUACGCGGAACGUGCGGUGUAGGGGUGAAAUCCAUUGAUAUUGCACGGAACACCAAAAGCGAAGGCAGCGUACUGGCGCUUUGUUGACGGUCAAUUGCGAAAGCGUGGGGAUCAAAAAGG
rnacentral:rRNA from 1 species